rnacentral:rRNA from 1 species
GACGAACGCUGGCGGCGUGCUUAACACAUGCAAGUCGAACGGUAAGGCCCUUCGGGGUACACGAGUGGCGAACGGGUGAGUAACACGUGGGUGAUCUGCCCUGCACUUCGGGAUAAGCCUGGGAAACUGGGUCUAAUACCGGAUAGGACCACUGCCUGCAUGGGUGGUGGUGGAAAGCUUUUGCGGUGUGGGAUGGGCCCGCGGCCUAUCAGCUUGUUGGCGGGGUGAUGGCCUACCACGGCGACGACGGGUAGCCGGCCUGAGAGGGUGACCGGCCACACUGGGACUGAGAUACGGCCCAGACUCCUACGGGAGGCAGCAGUGGGGAAUAUUGCACAAUGGGCGCAAGCCAGAUGCAGCGACGCCGCGUGAGGGAUGACGGCCUUCGGGUUGUAAACCUCUUUCAGCACCGACGAAGCGCAAGUGACGGUAGGUGCAGAAGAAGGACCGGCCAACUACGUGCCAGCAGCCGCGGUAA